UACGAAGGGGGCUAGCGCUGUUCGGAUUUACUGGGCGUAAAGCGCACGUAGGCGGAUUCUUAAGUCAGGGGUGAAAUCCCGAGGCUCAACCUCGGAACUGCCUUUGAUACUGGGGAUCUCGAGUUCGGGAGAGGUGAGUGGAAUUGCGAGUGUAGAGGUGAAAUUCGUAGAUAUUCGCAAGAACACCAGUGGCGAAGGCGGCUCACUGGCCCGAUACUGACGCUGAGGUGCGAAAGCGUGGGGAGCAAACAGG
rnacentral:rRNA from 1 species